AGUUCAGAUUGUGGGCUGCAACCCGCCCACAUGAAGUUGGAGUUGCUAGUAAUCGCGGAUCAGCAUGCCGCGGUGAAUACGUUCCCGGGCCUUGUACACACCGCCCGUCACACCAUGAGAGUCGGGAACACCCGAAGUCCGUAGUCUAACCGCAAGGGGACGCGGCCGAAGGUGGGUUCGAUAAUUGGGGUGAAGUCGUAACAAGGUACC
rnacentral:rRNA from 1 species